rnacentral:misc_RNA from 1 species
UAAAAGCAGUGAUGGGGAAUUUGACGGUGGCAGAACGACAACUACUCACGGCAGUGAACAGCGGAGCAUCAAGUCUAUCAUUCGUCGGUUCAGGAUUUAUAGUACUCUGUUAUUUGCUUUUCAAAGACCUUCGCAAGUUCUCCUUCAAACUUGUCUUCUACCUCGCUUUAUCUGACAUGUGCUGCAGUUUCUUCAGCAUAAUUGGGGAUCCUUCCAAAGGGUUCUUCUGUUAUGCUCAGGGAUAUACAACACAUUUCUUCUGCCUAGCGUCUUUCUUGUGGACAACAACAAUUGCCUUUACUCUUCACCGGACGGUUGUUAGACAUAAGACGGAUGUUGAAGAUUUGGAGCCAAUGUUUCAUUUAUAUGUUUGGGGAACUUCAGGAGUAAUGACAGUUAUAAGAUCAAUUGCCAAUAAUCAUGAACAUCUAAGUCGGCUGGGCACUUGGUGUUGGGCACAAACAGGACACACAGGAAAGGUGGUACACUUCAUAACAUUUUAUGCACCUCUUUGGGGUGCCAUUCUUUUUAACGGUGUCACCUAUUUUCAAGUGAUACGGAUGCUAAACAAUGCAACUCGUGUAUGUGGUCGUUACCUUUAUCCUUAAUUAUUUAAGCAUUCCUUUAUUGGUUCAUGAAGAUUUGGGUUCUGGAAAAUAAUUUGUGACAUUUCAAGUACGCUGAUGCUUCUAAUACUCCAGAUGGCAGUGGGUAUGUCAGAGAGGUCAUACCAACCAGAUCCACGGUCAGACAUGAAGG